rnacentral:rRNA from 1 species
UCGUGAAAUCUCACGGCUUAACUGUGAGCGUGCGGGCGAUACGGGCAGACUUGAGUACUGCAGGGGAGACUGGAAUUCCUGGUGUAGCGGUGGAAUGCGCAGAUAUCAGGAGGAACACCGGUGGCGAAGGCGGGUCUCUGGGCAGUAACUGACGCUGAGGAGCGAAAGCGUGGGGAGCGAACAGGAUUAGAUACCCUGGUAGUCCACGCCGUAAACGGUGGGUACUAGGUGUGGGUUUCCUUCCUUGGGAUCCGUGCCGUAGCUAACGCAUUAAGUACCCCGCCUGGGGAGUACGGCCGCAAGGCUAAAACUCAAAGAAAUUGACGGGGGCCCGCACAAGCGGCGGAGCAUGUGGAUUAAUUCGAUGCAACGCGAAGAACCUUACCUGGGUUUGACAUGCACAGGACGCCGGCAGAGAUGUCGGUUCCCUUGUGGCCUGUGUGCAGGUGGUGCAUGGCUGUCGUCAGCUCGUGUCGUGAGAUGUUGGGUUAAGUCCCGCAACGAGCGCAACCCUUGUCUCAUGUCGCCAGCGGGUAAUGCCGGGGACUCGUGAGAGACUGCCGGGGUCAACUCGGAGGAAGGUGGGGAUGACGUCAAGUCAUCAUGCCCCUUAUGUCCAGGGCUUCACACAUGCUACAAUGGCCGGUACAAAGGGCUGCGAUGCCGCGAGGUUAAGCGAAUCCUUUUAAAGCCGGUCUCAGUUCGGAUCGGGGUCUGCAACUCGACCCCGUGAAGUCGGAGUC